rnacentral:rRNA from 1 species
GCAAUGGCAUAAGCCAGCUUGACUGCGAGCGUGACGGCGCGAGCAGGUGCGAAAGCAGGUCAUAGUGAUCCGGUGGUUCUGAAUGGAAGGGCCAUCGCUCAACGGAUAAAAGGUACUCCGGGGAUAACAGGCUGAUACCGCCCAAGAGUUCAUAUCGACGGCGGUGUUUGGCACCUCGAUGUCGGCUCAUCACAUCCUGGGGCUGAAGUAGGUCCCAAGGGUAUGGCUGUUCGCCAUUUAAAGUGGUACGCGAGCUGGGUUUAGAACGUCGUGAGACAGUUCGGUCCCUAUCUGCCGUGGGCGCUGGAGAAUUGAGGGGGGCUGCUCCUAGUACGAGAGGACCGGAGUGGACGCAUCACUGGUGUUCGGGUUGUCAUGCCAAUGGCACUGCCCGGUAGCUAAAUGCGGAAGAGAUAAGUGCUGAAAGCAUCUAAGCACGAAACUUGCCCCGAGAUGAGUUCUCCCUGACUCCUUGAGAGUCCUGAAGGAACGUUGAAGACGACGACGUUGAUAGGCCGGGUGUGUAAGCGCAGCGAUGCGUUGAGCUAACCGGUACUAAUGAACCGUGAGGCUUAACCUU